AAUGCAUCGGAACGUGCCCAGUCGUGGGGGAUAACGCAGCGAAAGCUGCGCUAAUACCGCAUACGAUCUAUGGAUGAAAGCGGGGGACCGUAAGGCCUCGCGCGAUUGGAGCGGCCGAUGUCAGAUUAGGUAGUUGGUGGGGUAAAGGCUCACCAAGCCAACGAUCUGUAGCUGGUCUGAGAGGACGACCAGCCACACUGGGACUGAGACACGGCCCAGACUCCUACGGGAGGCAGCAGUGGGGAAUUUUGGACAAUGGGCGCAAGCCUGAUCCAGCAAUGCCGCGUGCAGGAAGAAGGCCUUCGGGUUGUAAACUGCUUUUGUACGGAACGAAAAGGCUCUGGUUAAUACCUGGGGCACAUGACGGUACCGUAAGAAUAAGCACCGGCUAACUACGUGCCAGCAGCCGCGGUAAUACGUAGGGUGCAAGCGUUAAUCGGAAUUACUGGGCGUAAAGCGUGCGCAGGCGGUUUUGUAAGACAGGCGUGAAAUCCCCGGGCUUAACCUGGGAAUUGCGCUUGUGACUGCAAGGCUGGAGUGCGGCAGAGGGGGAUGGAAUUCCGCGUGUAGCAGUGAAAUGCGUAGAUAUGCGGAGG
rnacentral:rRNA from 1 species